rnacentral:rRNA from 1 species
AUGAGGAUGCAUGAUUCCUGGCACACGCCAAUCAGCCUCACGAUGUGUGGGUGCUCGGUUCUGCUCAGUACCACAACCUGGAGAGUUCCAAACACGAUUCAGGAGAUGCCUCUCCAAGUAGUCAGGUAUGCAAGUAUGUUAUCUACUUCUGCGGGUUCUUUUAUAUAUAAGGAGGAAACAGUUCUCAUAAAAGAAGUGAAGAAACAGGGAUCAUACUACAGUUCAGAUAGAACUACUUGCUUUUUUGAGGGUGGACUACUUGCUUAUUGCUCUGUAUUAAGUUUGCUUCUUCUUAUAGUUAAUCUUAUGCUAUGUUGUGUGCAUACUCAGAUAGUUAAAUGA